UCCUACGGGAGGCAGCAGUAAGGAAUAUUGGUCAAUGGGCGGAAGCCUGAACCAGCCAUGCCGCGUGCAGGAAGACGGCCCUACGGGUUGUAAACUGCUUUUAUACGGGAAUAAACCUUGGUACGUGUACCAAGCUGAAUGUACUGUAAGAAUAAGGAUCGGCUAACUCCGUGCCAGCAGCCGCGGUAAUACGGAGGAUCCAAGCGUUAUCCGGAUUUAUUGGGUUUAAAGGGUGCGUAGGUGGCCUGUUAAGUCAGGGGUGAAAGACGGUAGCUUAACUAUCGCAGUGCCCUUGAUACUGAUGGGCUUGAAUGAACUAGAGGUAGGCGGAAUGUGACAAGUAGCGGUGAAAUGCAUAGAUAUGUCACAGAACACCAAUUGCGAAGGCAGCUUACUAUGGUUUUAUUGACACUGAGGCACGAAAGCGUGGGGAUCAAACAGGAUUAGAUACCCUGGUAGUCCACGCCCUAAACGAUGAAUACUCGAUGUUGGCGAUAUACGGUCAGCGUCUAAGCGAAAGCGUUAAGUAUUCCACCUGGGGAGUACACCCGCAAGGGUGAAACUCAAAUGAAUUGACGGA
rnacentral:rRNA from 1 species